rnacentral:rRNA from 1 species
GACGAACGCUGGCGGCGUGCUUAACACAUGCAAGUGGAGCGACGAACCAGGCUUCGGCCUGGGGCAGAGCCGCGAACGGGUGAGUAACACGUGGGUAACGUGCCCCGAUGACCGGGACAACCCGGGGAAACCCGGGCUAAUACCGGAUGUGCUGUCCCAACACCAGUUGGGAUUGGAAAGGAAGCUUCGGCCUCCGCAUCGGGAUCGGCCCGCGGCCCAUUCGCUUGUUGGUGAGGUAAAGGCUCACCAAGGCCGCGAUGGGUAGCUGGUCUGAGAGGACGAUCAGCCACACUGGGACUGAGACACGGCCCAGACUCCUACGGGAGGCAGCAGUGGGGAAUCUUGCGCAAUGCGCGAAAGCGUGACGCAGCAACGCCGCGUGGGGGAAGAAGGCCUUCGGGUUGUAAACCCCUUUCAGGAGGGACGAAGGUUGGGCGGUGAAUAGCCGACCUGACUGACGGUACCUCCAGAAGAAGCCCCGGCUAACUACGUGCCAGCCGCCGCCGUAAUAC